AACGGAGGGUGCAAGCGUUGUUCGGAAUUACUGGGCGUAAAGCGCGUGCAGGUGGUUUUUUAAGUUUCGUGUGAAAUCCCAUGGCUCAACCAUGGAACGGCACGGAAAACUGGAAGGCUUGAGUACGGGAGAAGAGGGCGGAAUUCCCAGUGUAGAGGUGAAAUUCGUAGAUAUUCGCAAGAACACCAGUGGCGAAGGCGGCUGACUGGUCCGGUUCUGACGCUGAGGCGCGAAAGCGUGGGGAGCAAACAGG
rnacentral:rRNA from 1 species